rnacentral:rRNA from 1 species
UACGGAGGGGGCUAGCGUUGUUCGGAAUUACUGGGCGUAAAGCGUGCGUAGGCGGUGUCUUAAGUUUGUUGUGAAAUCUCCCGGCUUAACCGGGAGGGUGCGGCGAAUACUGAGAUGCUGGAGUGCCGGAGAGGUAAGCGGAAUUCCUAGUGUAGCGGUGAAAUGCGUAGAUAUCAGGAGGAACACCUGCGGUGUAGACGGCUUCGUGGACGGUAACUGACGCUGAGGCACGAAAGCGUGGGUAGCAGACAGG